GCCCCUUUAGCUCAGUUGGUAGAGCGCGACACUAGUAUCCAGUAUCCACUAGACUGCAAAAUGUCGAGGUCGAUCGGUCAGGGGGCA
rnacentral:tRNA from 1 species